rnacentral:rRNA from 1 species
AUUGAACGCUGGCGGCAUGCUUUACACAUGCAAGUCGAACGGUAACAGGUUAAGCUGACGAGUGGCGAACGGGUGAGUAAUGCAUCGGAACGUGCCCGGUCGUGGGGGAUAACGCAGCGAAAGCUGCGCUAAUACCGCAUACGAUCUAAGGAUGAAAGCGGGGGACCGUAAGGCCUCGCGCGAUCGGAGCGGCCGAUGUCAGGUUAGGUAGUUGGUGGGGUAAAGGCUCACCAAUCCAACGAUCUGUAGCUGGUCUGAGAGGACGACCAGCCACACUGGGACUGAGACACGGCCCAGACUCCUACGGGAGGCAGCAGUGGGGAAUUUUGGACAAUGGGCGAAAGCCUGAUCCAGCAAUGCCGCGUGCAGGAAGAAGGCCUUCGGGUUGUAAACUGCUUUUGUACGGAGCGAAAAGGUCUCCUCUAAUACAGGGGGCUCAUGACGGUACCGUAAGAAUAAGCACCGGCUAACUACGUGCCAGCCGCCGCAGUAA